UUGACCUCGGAUCAGGUAGGGAUACCCGCUGAACUUAAGCAUAUCAAUAAGCGGAGGAAAAGAAACCAACAGGGAUUACCUCAGUAACGGC
rnacentral:rRNA from 1 species